GCUGGGCGUGGUGGCACGCGCCUGUAGUCCCAGCUACUCGGGAGGCUGAGGCAGGAGAAUCGCUUGAACCCAGGAGGCAGAGGUUGCAGUGAGCCAAGAUCGUGCCACUGCACUCCAGCCUGGGCGACAGAGCGAGACUCUGUCUCAA
rnacentral:SRP_RNA from 1 species